rnacentral:rRNA from 1 species
AGAGUUUGAUUCUGGCUCAGAACGAACGCUGGCAGCGUGGAUUAGGCAUGCUCGAACGAGAAGGUUUGCUUUCAACUUUUCGAAGGAGAAAGUGGACUGGAAAGUGGCGGAAGGGUGAGGAACACGUGGGCAACCUGCCCUCAAGUUCGGGACAACCAUUGGAAACGAUGGCUAAUACCGAAUAUGGAUUUCUGUCGCAUGACAGGACAUCUAAAGCUGGGGAUUCUUCGGAACCUGGCGCUUGUGGAGGGGCCCGCGUCCCAUCAGUUUGUUGGUAAGGUAACGGCUUACCAAGGCUAUGACGGGUAGCUGGUCUGAGAGGAUGGUCAGCCACACUGGGACUGAGACACUGCCCAGACUCCUACGGGAGGCUGCAGUCGAGGAUCAUUCGCAAUGCGCGAAAGCGUGACGAUGCGACGCUGCGUGGAGGAUGAAGGCUUUCGGGUUGUAAACUCCUGCCAUGAGGGAAAAGUAACCAGGCGAUUAAUACUCGCUUGGAUCGAUGGUACCUCAAGAGGAAGCCACGGCUAACUCUGUGCCAGCAGCCGCGGUAAUACAGAGGUGGCGAGCGUUGUUCGGAUUUACUGGGCGUAAAGGGUGCGUAGGUGGUAAUGUAUGUCGGAUGUGAAAUCCCAUGGCUCAACUGUGGAACUGCAUUCGAAACUGCAUAACUAGAGUGCAGGAGGGGAGAGCGGAAUUCUUGGUGUAGCGGUGAAAUGCGUUGAUAUCAAGAAGAACACCGGCGGCGAAGGCGGCUCUCUGGAAUGUUACUGACACUGAUGCACGAAAGCUAGGGGAGCAAACAGGAUUAGAUACCCUGGUAGUCCUAGCUGUAAACGUUGUGAACUUGGUGUUGGCGGUAUUGAUCCCGCCAGUGCCGGAGCUAACGCAUUAAGUUCACCGCCUGGGGAGUACGGUCGCAAGACUAAACUCAAAGAAAUUGACGGGGGCCCGCACAAGCGGAGGAGCAUGUGGCUUAAUUCGAUGCAACGCGAAGAACCUUACCAGGGUUUGACAUGGCGACCCUUCGGGGGUGGGAGUGAAAGCUCCCUUUGCGAUCACAGGUGCUGCAUGGCUGUCGUCAGUUCGUGCCGUGAGGUGUUGGGUUAAGUCCCGCAACGAACGCAACCCUUGUGGUUAGUUGCCACUUCCGAUUAACGUCGGGAAGCACUCUAGCCAGACUGCCUGUACAAGCAGGAGGAAGGUGGGGAUGACGUCAAGUCAGUAUGGCCCUUACACCCUGGGCUGCACACGUGCUACAAUGGCCGGUCCAGAAGGAUGCAAUACCGCGAGGUGGAGCAAAUCCCCAAAGCCGGCCCCAGUUCGGAUUGGAGUCUGCAACUCGACUCCAUGAAGUUGGAUUCGCUAGUAACGGCGUAUCAGCUACGACGCCGUGAAUACGUUCCCGGGCCUUGUACACACCGCCCGUCACAUCAUGAAAGCCGUCUGCACCCGAAGUCGCUGAGCUAACCCGCAAGGGAGGCAGGUGCCGAAGGUGUGGGUGGUAAUUGGGAUGAAGUCGUAACAAGGUA